rnacentral:tRNA from 1 species
GAGGGGGGCUUGCCAGCAACGGGGGCUGCUACCCACCGUAACCUCGGUUGAAAUCCGACGCCCCCUCG